AUGGACUACUGGACGGCACUGCUACUUUUAACUGUCUGCUGGGCAGGUGUUGAUGGUCAGACUCUGACACAAUCUGAACCAGCAGUUAAAAGACCAGGAGAAUCCCACAGAUUGACCUGUACAGCUUCUGGAUAUACCUUUGGAGACUACAGCUUGGUCUGGGUCAGACAGGCUCCUGGGAAAGGACUGGAGUGGAUUGCUUACAUAUAUUGGAUUGAUGGCAGCACUUCCUAUUCUCAGUCAGUUCAAGGCCGGUUUACCAUCUCCAAGGACAACAGCAAACGGCAGCUGUAUCUGCAGAUGAACAGUCUGAAGACUGAAGAUUCUGCUGUUUAUUAUUGUGCUCGAAAUCCACAGUGA